AAAUUGAAGAGUUUGAUCAUGGCUCAGAUUGAACGCUGGCGGCAGGCCUAACACAUGCAAGUCGAACGGUAACAGGAAGAAGCUUGCUUCUUUGCUGACGAGUGGCGGACGGGUGAGUAAUGUCUGGGAAACUGCCUGAUGGAGGGGGAUAACUACUGGAAACGGUAGCU
rnacentral:rRNA from 2 species